CGGUAUUUCUAACCUUGGAGAUAUUAUCAGGUCCAUCAUUGCUGUUUCUUUGAUGGUGCGUUCAACGGAAAUUAAGGGACAAGAUGCUCCAUGCCAGGUGAAGGAAGCAGCAUCAAAUCUCCUCUGCGUAUGCCUGCGUGAUCCUUC
rnacentral:SRP_RNA from 1 species